UAGACAGGGAAAGACAGAGUUACAGGAGCUAAAUUCAGUGGUCUCUGAACCCGCAUGCUGCUGCCAUGGCAGGAGGAGGAGGCGGGACUGAGCGGGGAGGCGCCCGGUGCUACGGGAGCCUCGCAGGGCUUCAGGGGCAGCCAGGCCUGCACAGCAGCAGAGGAGGCGGAAGGUGCUCCUGCGAGAAGAGUGAGGAGCGGAACGCACGGUGGGAGCAGGCGGUGGGAGCCCUGAAGGGUUUUGGGAAGACGGACGCCGUGAACCCUCCUGUGGGACUUACAGGAGGUGAGCCUGGCCUGCACCUGCGGGCUGAGGGCUGAAGGGGGUGCAGUGCCCGCUGCUCGGUCAGGAAAGUGCCCACGAUCCCAUCCCAACGGGACUUGGAUGGUCUGAACUCUGCGGGUGACGGCUGCUGGAAGGGGAGCUUGGACACAGUGACCGGAUCGGCCCUGUGGGAGCAGGCAGGGCUGGGGUGAGAGGCCGGCGGGGGGUGCCCAGGGCCUCCCUCUCGCCCCCUCCUUCCUCCCCUCUGCUCUCAAAACUUCACAGAAGUAACAGGGCAGUUGUAACUUGGUCAAAUUCUCGAUGGCAUUUCCACCCUUGUUAAUAUUCCUAGGGUUUCCCAGUGAAGUUUUUGCCUCCUCACUUCACUCUUCAGGGAAAUUUCUUCUCAGUCCUGGGCUAUGAUUCUGGGAUCAGGUCAAACUACUGUUGGCACUUGGGCAAUGAGCCUUCGGACCUGGAAGAACAUUCGGUUAGAUUCUUGACAUUUCUGUCCAGACUGGUGGGCAGCUGGGAAGGGAACUAGGAGAUGCCCAUCUCUGCGAGGGCUGCAGGCAGCUGUGACCGAGCUUCUGAGGUCAGAACGUGGUGAUGACUGUCAGUGAACAUAAGGAACAGUGGAACAGCAGGAUGUCCUGAGUGGCCACGCGUGAUUGACCGCUGCCACCGUCUCUUUCUCAGGCUCUUCAGGGUGGACCGUGGACUCUGCCAGUCAGCACAGAAGAGGGUGAGAUGCCCGGCAGGGGCAGGCCCGAUACCCCAGCUCCUCAGGGCCAUGGCUCUAUCCUGUGUGGGAACAGCAUUCUGUCUUUAAAGACAUUCACCUGUUUACCCAUUUCUUCCAGAAUGAUGCAUUUCCCUAAACUUUGCUAGCAUACACAGCAAAGAUAAGCAAACAUAGAUGCUAGAAAUCACUCCAAAGCCCAUCUCCCUAAGGAGCUACUGGCCUCGCUUUGCUUCAUUUCUUGUGCUCACAUGUACACCCCUCCCUCUCCAAAGUGGAAGCCUCUUGUAUAAACUUGUUGCCCGUUUUUUCACUUCAAAGUAUAUUUUGAUCAGUUUUCCAGGUUGGUAAGCGUGCUUCCACAAUGGCACACACGUGUGUGAGAGCCCAAGGGCACCAUUCAAUUCCUUUAACCCGCAGCUCCCUUGCUAUGCCUUCAGAUCUUUUCUAUAUGUCACUACGGAAUUGAAAAUGAGGACUUGACGAGCACCUUGGUGCCAAGACAGUCCUCGGUGAAGCUCUGGCCCUGCCUUUCCAGUCUUAAGUCUCUACCCCCAUCCCGAGGGGCCGUGGCAGGCCCUCCAGUUUGCAAGGACCGCAGAAACUCAUGGAAACGCCUGGUGUUCCGGGAGUGGUGGGAAGAGCCAGGGAAGCUCCGGCCCCUGCUGAUUCCUCUGGGUGAGAGCCUCCACGUUCCCGAAGGCCUUCUGCACGGGACUGGCAGGCAGCCUGAUCCCCGACAGCCAGUGUGCAGCCGUGCAUCUGGGCAAGGGCAGCAGCCUCCCCCUCUCACCCCAACCUCAGCCCGCCGCUCAGGUGGGCCCUGGGCCCCUGGGGCUUCCUCCAAGCUGCCAGGAAGGUGCAGACUCUGCUGAGGCCAGUUCCAGAGAGGACUGAGUCACUGGGUCUGAGUCAGCGUUUGUUCUGUUUCCUGGAAGAACGUCAGGUGUCAGGCAUUACUCCAAGCGGCUGUGAGCAAGAAGAAAGCAUGCCCAGAGGACGGGUGUAUGUGCCCUUACGCCAAAAGCCUCGCACACUCACCUGCUCUCGCGUCCACGGAACACACUCUGGAGGGGGAGGAGCCUUUGUGUGGGCCCCUCUGCACCCCUCCCCACCAGCGUCAAGGAUGGGAAGCCCCCUCCCUGCCCUCGGGAGCUCACCCCCCCCGACAGGGCACGUGGCCGCAAGUAGCACAAGGGCCCCUGUGUUGCCCUGCAGGAUGGAGGCCCAGGGAGGCCCAGCAUCUGCCCGAGUGUCCUCUGUCUGCUGGUCCUCAUCUGAGCGGCUGUAGGACUCUGUCUCCUUGUCUGGAUUCACGGAAGAGCAAACUGGGCUCGUUCAUGGGCAGGAAGGGGUUAAGGGCCAGCAGGGACGCAGGGCUCUGGGAACAGGCGCCUUCCUGGGGCAGCAGAAGCAUUCCAAGCGCAGUGUUUUCUGUUCUAAAUAUGGACUUGGGAGACAGUUAUUUUUAGGAAGCAAAUGGUAAUGAUUAGAGUUUUAAGAUUUAAGUAGUCAUUUAGUCAUAAAAGCUGAAUUCACAUGCUACAGAAAAAUAGUCUUUUCCUUUGGUUGAUGAUAGGGUUCCUUCAAGUGCAGUAAUUGUUCAUCGCUUCAUGAAUGCUCCGCAGACAAGGGCCUGUGAUUAGCCUCCACCCCAGGCUCCCUUGGAAGAGCAGGGAGACGGCUGGAGAUGGCUCCGGGCUGAGAAGGGAGGUGGUGAGCUUGCAGACCAGGGCAUAAGCCCGCCCCAGCCUGCAUCUCGGGAUCCAUGAGAGUUCAGGGCUGCCUCCCCGCCGGUGAGGAGACCGCGCCUCAGAGGCUCUGGCUGGCCAUGUACUGAGGCUGUUCUGUCCACACGCGGGGUGACCUGACUACGGGGUGAUGCCUGGCGCUAACCUGCAGGUGUAAGCCAGGCAGACCGCAGACGAGGAGCCUAGGUGAUGUCAGAAAUCCCCACCCAGGUCCCGUGGAGAGAAGCCUGUGGGAGCUCGGC